UUGAUCACCUGAGGUGAGCAAUGAGUCAGCCAGAGGAGCACAGGCAAGCCUGGCUCCACUCCUCCUAGACCUAUUUAAGGGCUGGCUACCAAUAGGGAAAGAUCUCUUCUGGAGAUUGCCUCUGCUGCUAUUCUGUGAGUGAGCCCAGGAUAGGGCCACUGCUGCUAAUGUCCCACCAGAAGAUCCUUGUUUGUCCAUCUCCUAAUGCAGAUAAAUCCCAUCUGAUGGAUACAAACGCCUGAAAAAAUGAAGUGAAAAUCCCUGUGGUUUCUGCAGUAUCCUCCAAUCAAAAACUGAAGAUUUCCAAAGAACUAGAAAAUAUGUAAAUCUGUCUGAGGGAUCUUGUAUGGAAUUUUAGGCGGAUGAGGAGAAUUGCUGGUGCUGUGUUCUUCUGCAUUCUGCAUCACACUUUGGGCUACUUGCUGAAGAAACUGUAAUGUCCCAGCUUUCUAACAAUUGAUGGGAAGAUGAUGUCAGCACAGUAAAGGACAGCCUUCCUGCUACAACCUUCCUAUACAGGCUAUGCAAUUUGAUGGCAUCACUUUUUAGUGCUGUGUAGUUUCCCUGAUUUCUUCCUUUGUCUUCCCAACUCCCUCUGCAAUGUCUGUGAUUCUGUCUCUGACAGGACUGAAAAUGUAGUGAAGGUACAUAUUAUAGUACCUAGUGUUCAUAACUAUUCCCUUUUUUCUUCAUGUUUGAAAUGCAUUACAUUUAAUCUGUUUUCUAUAUUGUAGUAGUAAACUGAUAUCUGAUAGCCUAACAAAAGGUUCUGCUACUAAAUGAUUGCUGAGCUUCUCUGAGACUUUGUCAAUUGCUGAGUUUGUCCAUCAACAUCUUUCUUAUUGAUAUGCACUGUUUUCAAACCAUGCAAGCUUAACAGCUUGCUGUCCCAAUUCCUGACUUGCUGCCUGACUUGGGGAAGGGCCUCUUCUCACUUAAUGCUGACUGUAAUUUAGAGCUAAAUUUUGUUCAAAGAUGAUCAGCAACAGGAACAACAGAGUGUUUUACUGCUGAGGUCACUGUACUGAUCACACAACAGGUGAUAAGGCCUGAACUUCCUUGCCCUUUCAGAGACCAAACGAGGACGUAGCAAUCUGUUAUAUGUUCUAAAUGACUGAAGAGCAGAAGUCACGUCACUGGCUUGGUCCUGAAUCAAUUUGGUUGUGUUUUGGGUCCUGUGAGUUCAGAAACCUCAUGUGCUAGCUGGUCAAAUGGCAUUUCUGAAGUCACCUGAAAAAUAAUAACAAGGUUUGUUACUUAUCUUGAGUCCUACCAGCACAGCAUGUUACAAGUAGGCAUGUUUUGUAAAUUGUUGAAUGCUGAACCUAUUGAAUCUUAUUACCUCUGGUGAUGGCAAAGCCUUUGUCUUUUAAUGGCUUAAGUUGACAGUGUGAUUUUCUGCAAGGAGCUAAAAAGAAUCCUACCUGAAAAUGAUAAGAUUUUAGCAGCAGAUGUAAUUCACAGCAGAAUGAACACGAUGCUUUCCACAGGCUAAUCUGCAAAAUGAAAACGUUCAAUUAGGUAAUACAUUUUGAUGUAUGGACAUGGGAGCCUGAGGAUGGGUGCACAACAUCAUGACAACAGUCAAGUUGGAUCAGGAUCCUGUCUAACAUUGGCUGAAAAUGAGGUCCCAAGAGUAGCAGCAAUGCAGCCAUGGAGGAAUUGUUUCUUGAUUGCUCUCCAGCAUCCAGAAAUUCCUGGGCAUUUUUGAGUACCCUCAAUGGAUUUUUCUGACAUGGCUUUGCCCAAUUACUUCUGAAUACAUAUAAACUUAGUAUCUACAUCCUGGCUAACAGUGUUCUGCAGCUCAUGAUCUGUAAAUAACUGUGUCCCUUUCCCUGAAUAAAUGAUACCAGUUGCUGUUUUAGCAUUUUCUGAUACCACGCAGAUGGCCAUAAAGCUGUGGGAAGUUGUCUAGAGGGCAGCCAUUGCUCAGGCAAUGCUGGCUGUUGGUUGGUGGUGAUGUGUGGAAUCAAACACUAUAACCAGAAUAAUCAU